rnacentral:rRNA from 1 species
CCUACGGGGCGCAGCAGUGAGGAAUAUUGGUCAAUGGGCUUACGCCUGAACCAGCCAAGUCGCGUGAGGGAAGACUGCCCUAUGGGUUGUAAACCUCUUUUGUCAGGGAGCAAUUGGCGCUACGUGUAGCGUUAUCGAGAGUACCUGAAGAAAAAGCAUCGGCUAACUCCGUGCCAGCAGCCGCGGUAAUACGGAGGAUGCGAGCGUUAUCCGGUUUUAUUGGGUUUAAAGGGUGCGUAGGCGGGAUGCCAAGUCAGCGGUAAAAUCGCGGGGCUCAACCUCGCUCCGCCGUUGAAACUGGAGUUCUUGAGUGGGCGAGAAGUAUGCGGAAUGCGGGGUGUAGCGGUGAAAUGCA